GUGACGCUGCGGCAGGCUUACACAUGCAAGUCGAGGGGUAUAUAGGAGCUUGCUCUUAUGGAGACCGGCAAACGGGUGCGGAACACGUACGCAAUCUACCCUUAUCUCGGGGAUAGCCCAUAGAAAUGUGGAUUAAUACCCGAUGGUAUAUUCGAGUGGCAUCACUUGGAUAUUAAAGAAUUUCGGAUAGGGAUGAGCGUGCGUAAGAUUAGCUAGAUGGUGAGGUAACGGCUCACCAUGGCAACGAUCUUUAGCUGAUGUGAGAGCAUGAUCAGCCACACGGGCACUGAGACACGGGCCCGACUCCUACGGGAGGCAGCAGUGAGGAAUACUGGUCAAUGGACGGAAGUCUGAACCAGCCAUGCCGCGUGAAGGAUGAAGGCGUUCUGCGUUGUAAACUUCUUUUAUCAGGGAAGAAACCACCGAUUUCUAUUGGUGUUGACGGUACCUGAGGAAUAAGCACCGGCUAACUCCGUGCCAGCAGCCGCGGUAAUACGGAGGGUGCAAGCGUUAUCCGGAUUUACUGGGUUUAAAGGGUGUGUAGGCGGGCAUUUAAGUCUGGGGUGAAAUCUCCGAGCUCAACUCGGAAACUGCCUUGGAUACUAUUUGGCUUGAAUUAUGUUGGAGGUAGGCGG
rnacentral:rRNA from 1 species